UCUUGUUCACCAUGUCCAGUUGGGCAUUACUGCCUUGACCCGGUGGUACCCAAACCAUGUGGUUUAGGCAGUUACAGUGUGGGGGGGACUGUAUUGCAGUGUAUCACAUGCCCGUCAGGUUUUGAGUGCAGCAACCCAGCGGCCCACCCAGUACCUUGCUCAUUUGGUACCUUCUCUGAGGCCAAUGCCACAGCUUGCACUAUCUGCCCUGGGGGGUUCUCUUGUAUAGACCCCAGGGAUCCCCCCCAGCUUUGUGAGGAAGGGUACUACAGUUUAGAGGGUGAUGGUCAGUGCAGACAGUGUCCAGCUGGCUACUCUUGUUCCCUGGACGGCACCGAGACAGCCUGUGACCUGGGCUACUACAGCCGGGCGGGGGACUUCAACUGCACCCUGUGUCCAGCGGGUUCCCAGUGUCCAUCUCCUGAUGUGGCCCCCAUUGAGUGUGACGCUGGUCAGCACACAAAUGGUCAAGAUGGCCAGACGUCCUGUGCAGAUUGCUUGG